rnacentral:rRNA from 1 species
GACGAACCGAGCGAACGUUGUUCGGAAUCACUGGGCUUAAAGGGCGCGUAGGCGGGUGCUCCAGUCCGGGGUGAAAUCCUCCAGCUCAACUGGAGAACUGCCUCGGAUACUGGGUGUCUCGAGGGUGGUAGGGGUAUGCGGAACUAUCGGUGGAGCGGUGAAAUGCGUUGAUAUCGAUAGGAACUCCGGUGGCGAAGGCGGCAUACUGGACCACAUCUGACGCUGAGGCGCGAAAGCCAGGGGAGCAAACAGG